CAGUAUUGACAUCAAGACUUUUGAGGAAACACAUUUUUUUAAACAUAGUAGAUCAGAAGACUAGACAAGUUGUUUACCGUGAAACUAAAUAUGAGCAAACCUGUACCUAUCUGUCUUCCCUGACCUUUCUGACAUCUACAGAAAUGCAUUCUGAAUUUUAUUCUGUAAGACUGGAAAUGAAAUGUUGCGUUUGAUCAUAUGAAUCAGGCAGUAAGUCAAGCAAAAGAUAAAAUAAGCACACAAGGUCUGCUGCCCACUGUGAGUGAGCUGGGGAAAUCUAAAAGCGGGAGCCUGGUUUUAUACACAAUGCAAACACACAUGCAUGCACAAAACACAGAAAGGCCACAAACAACAAAGAUAGUGAAGUUGUAAGUAAAAUGAAAAUGAUACCUGAUCGUGAUUCUCUUUUCCCCAGAACACGCAAACAGAACUAUAAUCAAAGUACUUCUACAUGCAAUGAACUGUAUGAAGAGAUUUAUCAGCACUGCAACAAAAGGUUUUUCCGUACUGGGAUUUUGAGACUUCAUUAACACAGCAAGUGUAUUCCAGCCCUUGUUUUAAGAUUUGCUAAUCUUCGAGAUUCAUACUGGCCAAGAAAUAACAGCAGAGCUUAUGCAAGCCACUCAGCAAGGAAACUGCAAUGGUCUAUACCUUGGGGCUUUAUUUUACUGUGGAACUGCCAAGCUAUGGCAAGGCUUGAUUACCCCAUAAUUAUACCAGGAAAUGAAUGCUUCCACAAGUCAGCCACAAUUCUUAAUGUUCAAUUGCAGUCCUUUAUGAAAUAAGCAUCAAUUAUGAUUCUAUGUUACAUUUUCCAAAGUGUGGGGAAAAAAAAAAAAAAAAAAAGACAUUUUAAAUGCUAAUUAAAAAAAAGAAAUUACCAGACCAGUUUUGCAUUUAGGAUUUCAAGACAGGAAAUUAGUAAUAUCAGGUAAGGCCCUGACACUGGGAAAUCAUUUAUUUCACUUUCAAAACCCUACUAUAAGAGGUAUUUCCAUUUGUUUUAUAUAGGCAAGUA